AACGACUCUCGGCAACGGAUAUCUCGCGUCUCGCAUCGAUGAAGAACGUAGCGAAAUGCGAUACUUGGUGUGAAUUGCAGAAUCCCGUGAACCAUCGAGUCUUUGAACGCAAGUUGCGCCCGAAGCCAUUAGGCCGAGGGCACGUCUGCCUGGGCGUCAC
rnacentral:rRNA from 1 species